AUUGAACGCUGGCGGCAUGCUUUACACAUGCAAGUCGAACGGCAGCGCGGGCUUCGGCCUGGCGGCGAGUGGCGAACGGGUGAGUAAUGCAUCGGAACGUGCCCAGUAGUGGGGGAUAGCCCGGCGAAAGCCGGAUUAAUACCGCAUACGACCUGAGGGUGAAAGCGGGGGACCGAAAGGCCUCGCGCUAUUGGACCGGCCGAUGUCGGAUUAGCUAGUUGGUGGGGUAAAGGCUUACCAAGGCGACGAUCCGUAGCUGGUCUGAGAGGACGACCAGCCACACUGGGACUGAGACACGGCCCAGGCUCCUACGGGAGGCAGCAGUGGGGAAUUUUGGACAAUGGGGGCAACCCUGAUCCAGCCAUGCCGCGUGCGGGAAGAAGGCCUUCGGGUUGUAAACCGCUUUUGUUCGGGAAGAAAUCCUCUGGGCUAAUACCCCGGGGGGAUGACGGUACCGGAAGAAUAAGCACCGGCUAACUACGUG
rnacentral:rRNA from 1 species